rnacentral:rRNA from 1 species
AUUGAACGCUGGCGGCAGGCCUAACACAUGCAAGUCGAGCGGAGCGGCAGACGGGGGAGGAAGGCCUAGGAAUGUGCCUGGGCGUGGGGGAUGACGUCAGGUAAAGGGAACGAAUACCGCAUACUAUCAGAUGAGCCUAGGUCGGAUGAGCUAGUUGGUGGGGUAAAGGCCUACCAAGACGACGAUCCGUAACUGGUCUGAGAGGAUGAUCAGUCACACUGGAACUGAGACACGGUCCAGACUCCUACGGGAGGCAGCAGUGGGGAAUAUUGGACAAUGGGCGAAAGCCUGAUCCAGCCAUGCCGCGUGUGUGAAGAAGGUCUUCGGAUUGUAAAGCACUUUAAGUUGGGAGGCGUUACCAACAGAAUAAGCACCGGCUAACUUCGUGCCAGCCGCCGCGGUAAUAC